rnacentral:rRNA from 1 species
AGUGAACGCUGGCGGUAGGCCUAACACAUGCAAGUCGAACGGCAGCACAGUAAGAGCUUGCUCUUACGGGUGGCGAGUGGCGGACGGGUGAGGAAUACAUCGGAAUCUACUUUUUCGUGGGGGAUAACGUAGGGAAACUUACGCUAAUACCGCAUACGACCUACGGGUGAAAGCAGGGGAUCUUCGGACCUUGCGCGAUUGAAUGAGCCGAUGUCGGAUUAGCUGGUUGGCGGGGUGGAGGCCCACCAAGGCGACGAUCCGUAGCUGGGCUGAGAGGAUGACCGGACACAGUGGGAAUGAGAGACGGCCCAGACUCGUACGGGAGGAAGCAGCGGGGAAUAUUGCAAAAUGGGCGGAAGCCAGAUGCAGGAACGCCGUGUGCGGGAGGACGGGCUUCGGGUUGUAAACGGCUUGGGCCUGUGACGAAGCGUGAGUGCCGGUAAUGGGGAAAGAAGCACCGGCUAACUACGUG